rnacentral:tRNA from 1 species
UCCCUGGUGGCUCAGAGGUUAAAGCGACUGCCUGGAAUGCGGGACACCCUGGGUUCGAUCCCUAGGUCGGGAA